rnacentral:rRNA from 2 species
GCAGUCGAACGAACUCUGGUAUUGAUUGGUGCUUGCAUCAUGAUUUACAUUUGAGUGAGUGGCGAACUGGUGAGUAACACGUGGGAAACCUGCCCAGAAGCGGGGGAUAACACCUGGAAACAGAUGCUAAUACCGCAUAACAACUUGGACCGCAUGGUCCGAGCUUGAAAGAUGGCUUCGGCUAUCACUUUUGGAUGGUCCCGCGGCGUAUUAGCUAGAUGGUGGGGUAACGGCUCACCAUGGCAAUGAUACGUAGCCGACCUGAGAGGGUAAUCGGCCACAUUGGGACUGAGACACGGCCCAAACUCCUACGGGAGGCAGCAGUAGGGAAUCUUCCACAAUGGACGAAAGUCUGAUGGAGCAACGCCGCGUGAGUGAAGAAGGGUUUCGGCUCGUAAAACUCUGUUGUUAAAGAAGAACAUAUCUGAGAGUAACUGUUCAGGUAUUGACGGUAUUUAACCAGAAAGCCACGGCUACUUACGUGCCAGCA